rnacentral:tRNA from 1 species
UCCUCAGUAGCUCAGUGGUAGAGCGGUCGGCUGUUAACUGACUGGUCGUAGGGUUGAAAUCCUAACUGGGAGA